UGAGGAAUAUUGGACAAUGGGCGCAAGCCUGAUCCAGCCAUGCCGCGUGCAGGAAGAAGCAUCUAUGGUGUGUAAACUGCUUUUGUACGGGAAGAAACACUCCUACGUGUAGGAGCUUGACGGUACCGUAAGAAUAAGGAUCGGCUAACUCCGUGCCAGCAGCCGCGGUAAUACGGAGGAUCCAAGCGUUAUCCGGAAUCAUUGGGUUUAAAGGGUCCGUAGGCGGUUUAAUAAGUCAGUGGUGAAAGCCCAUCGCUCAACGAUGGAACGGCCAUUGAUACUGCUAGACUUGAAUUAUUAGGAAGUAACUAGAAUAUGUGGUGUAGCGGUGAAAUGCUUAGAUAUUACAUGGAAUACCAAUUGCGAAGGCAGGUUACUACUGACGGAUUGACGCUCAUGCACGAAAGCGUGGGGAGCAAACA
rnacentral:rRNA from 1 species